rnacentral:rRNA from 1 species
GAUGAACGCUAGCGGCAGGCCUAACACAUGCAAGUCGAGGGGCAUCACAGUCUAGUUCGCUAGACGGGUGGCGACCGGCGCACGGGUGCGUAACGCGUAUGUAACCUACCAUUGACAGGGGGAUAGUCAGAGGAAACUUUGAAUAAUACCGCAUAACAUAUAUAAGAGGCAUCUUUUGUAUAUCAAAAUUACGAUGGUCAAUGAUGGGCAUGCGUUUGAUUAGAUAGUUGGUAAGGUAACGGCUUACCAAGUCGACGAUCAAUAGGGGUUCUGAGAGGAUAAUCCCCCACACUGGUACUGAGAUACGGACCAGACUCCUACGGGAGGCAGCAGUGAGGAAUAUUGGGCAAUGGACGGAAGUCUGACCCAGCCAUGCCGCGU